rnacentral:rRNA from 1 species
UACGGAGGGUGCAAGCGUUAUCCGGAUUCACUGGGUUUAAAGGGUUCGUAGGCGGACAGGUAAGUCAGUGGUGAAAUCUCCGAGCUUAACUCGGAAACUGCCUUUGAUACUCUCUGUCUUGAAUAUGGUGGAGGUAAGCGGAAUAUGUCAUGUAGCGGUGAAAUGCUUAGAGAUGACAUAGAACACCUAUUGCGAAGGCAGCUUACUACGCCUAUAUUGACGCUGAGGCACGAAAGCGUGGGGAUCAAACAGG